CGGAACAUAGCUCAGUGGUAGAACAGCUGGCUUAUAACCAGUGUGUCGGUGGUUCGAUUCCGCUGGUUCCGA
rnacentral:tRNA from 1 species